GUUUCAUGGAGUAAAGUACACUAGAAGUGUACCACACAGAGAUUAGCAUUGUCCCUGCUAAAGAAUGGUAUGCAAUUUGUGAAACCCAUCAAUAUUUU
ensembl:snRNA U6 U6 spliceosomal RNA